CAAGCAUUGGCAAGGAUGUGGGAAAACUGGUACCUAAUGUAGUCAGAUUCACAGAGAAAACAAGAAGAGUGACUGCCAAGGGCUGAGGAAGGGAAGAAAUGGGAGUUGAUGGUAUUGCUUCUGUUUCAUGGUUUGGUCUCUUGGCCGGGAGGCAUGUGGGAUCUCAGCUCCCCAACCAGGGAUGGAACCUGUACCCCCUGCAUUGGAAGCUGAACUCUUAACCACUGUAUCACCAAGGAAGUCUCCAGAGUUUUCCUCUAGCAAGAUGAAAGGAGUUCUGGAGAAGGAUAGUGGUGAUGGCUGCACAGAAAUGGGAAUGUGCUUAAAGUUACUGAACAGUACACUUCAAAACAGUUAAGAUGAGUGAAGUAGGCUAUCCUGAAACGAACUUCCUGAUUCAGCAUCUGCUUGGGUUCACAUGAACUAGUCAUCAGACCUGGGAAUCUGGGUCCCUUUUCUGGAGCACCGCCCAGCACGAUUCUGAGACAUAUCCUAGACCAACCUUCACACCGCCCUUUGCAGCCUCAGAAAAAUGAAGGAUGGAGGGAACCUAACAGGAUCUGGCUGACGAUGACGACAAAUCUGGGCAAAGUUGUAAAUCCAGAAGCUGCUGAAGUGAAACUGGAAGAAACACAGGGACUCGGUGUUUUCAUCCAUCUGCAAGAUCACCCAACGCCCCGUUCAAGUCUGGGCACGAGUCACCAGGUUUCCACAUACACCUACCCCCUGAAGUGCAGUGAGCACCUGGGUGUGUGGUGCCGAGGGAGACUUCUGUAGGAAACACCUCGGGAAAAUGGAGAGAGGGGAGGCCCGGAUCUCGGUCAUCCACGCAGGCGCUGUGCCUGAUGCACGCACGUGGGUGCGGGACAGCUGUGCUGACCAGCGCGUGGCUGUUACCAGCGUUCAGGUUGGAUGCCCUUGUGUAAUUAUAUCACGUAAACAAGUUUGUUUUUUAAAAACAGAUUGAAAGCUCUAAGUAUAGCCUAUUAGAUUCUUUGGGGGAAACUGCUAUAGGAUUAGUGAACUCAGCUCUGUGCCCCUCAAAACUUCAGAAGCUGGAUUGAGGGUGGGAGGGGGAAUGUAGAGUUAGUAUUAAUGCAUUGGUAUUAGAAUAAAAGCAUCUAGGCUUUCUUUUCAUAGUCAUGAGAAAAUUGUCAGAUUACUUCUGUCUACAACCAAACUUAUUCAAGUUUCUUAAGCAAAUAUGUAAUGAUUGGUGAAAAUAAUCCAUUUAUUGACCAAAAACAUCUUUGCAAGGUGGGCAAAGGAAGAGACAAACAUUGAAAUUUUACUUAUUUAAAAAAAGCUAAGCAUCGCAACAAGCUUGGAGGGGAACAAGAGAACAUUGCUAGAGUUACUUAUUUUAAAAAGGGGAAAGGAAAGCAAUAUUAUUAUUAUCAUUGUCAUUAUUAUUACCAACACUAUUAUUUUGCUUAUUUGAGCUUUGAACUCAUCACCCUCUUCCUGUGGGGGAAGAAAAAAUCCAGCUCUCAACCCCAGUUUUCUUACUUAUCCUUAAC
ensembl:lncRNA